rnacentral:rRNA from 1 species
AGGACGAACGCUGGCGGCGUGCUUAACACAUGCAAGUCGAGCGGAAAGGCCCUUCGGGGUACUCGAGCGGCGAACGGGUGAGUAACACGUGAGCAACCUGCCCUUAGCUCCGGGAUAGCUCCGGGAAACCGGAAUUAAUACCGGAUAUGACCUAGGCCGACAUCGGCUGUGGUGGAAAGUUUUUCGGCUGGGGAUGGACUCGCGGCCUAUCAGCUUGUUGGUGGGGUAAUGGCCUACCAAGGCGACGACGGGUAGCCGGCCUGAGAGGGCGACCGGCCACACUGGGACUGAGACACGGCCCAGACUCCUACGGGAGGCAGCAGUGGGGAAUCUUGCGCAAUGGGCGAAAGCCUGACGCAGCGACGCCGCGUGGAGGAUGAAGGCCUUCGGGUUCGUAAACCCUUCAGCAGGGACGAGCGAAAGUGACGGUACCUGCAGAAGAAGCGCCGGCUAACUACGCGCCAGCAGCCGC